GGAAUAUUAACAUAACUUGCGGAAUACGAGAUAAAGAUCAAAUGUAAUAGAACUUCAUGACAAAUUUAUUCACUUGAUGGCUACCCAACACAAGAAGUAACCAACAUAUGUAAUUUCAUUACAAGCAUCACAUAAAAAUAGAAAGACACAAGUGCUCUCGAUCCAUAAAUGAGGAAGCAUAUGGCUGUAGAAACACCAGUGCUCCUCAAUCCAUACUCUAUCACAAGAAUAUAUCAUUAUGCCAACGGCUUGACUACACCAGGUGCAUUACACCGAAUGAAUAGAUGAGUGCUACCUGCUCCAAGUGUUUUGCACGGCAAAUAAAUAAUUAUACGGUAUCCUGAGUGUGUCACUCAUUUAUCGGUUUGGUGUAGCCAAAGUAUUUUCCGUUGGUUAUAUACAUUAACAGAGGAAGCAUAUCUUAAACAGCAUGAAUAAGCAAUCAGACAGUAUAUUCAAGAGUCUGGAGGACCAACUCAUCAUCCUCCUUUUGAUGCUUUCUUCUCUUUGUAAUGGAAAAUGGUUGAAGAAUGUAUCUUGACAAGCGGCUUAAAGGGUCCUGCAGACCUUCCAUUUCAUAGUGUCCAAAUCGCCAAUCUCUUUCAAUAAAAGGUCGCUGUAUAGGCUCAUCAAGCCCUCCUGUUACGAUAAAAUGAAAUGAUAACAAUUGAUCUCAACUGAAAAAUAGUAAUAAAAGGAGGGGAAAGAACACGGAAGCCUCAGUGAUUGCACACAGCAGUCGUUUGAUACUUCCAUUUAAGAGUUAGCAUUGGGAGAACCAAGUAAACAAACAGGCAAGCUCCCCAAAACCCCUGUGAAGAAUGAGUCUAACCAACUAGCUCGCUCAGCAUAAAUUGAUACAUGACAAUCACAUGGACAGUUCCAUCUUCUCAUUCAUUUUUACUAUGAUUUUUGAAAGCCUUGCACACUUCCGUUCUGAAGUAUGAAGAGAAUACACAUAUCCAACAACUGAACCAAGUAUUAUAGAGAAUGAAUUUGAAAAUUAAGGAUUAUGUUGUAUCCUGGAGUGGAAAAGUAUGAACUGCUUAAAUUACCUGCAUACAUUAAACCAUGUUUAUUAACUGCCCGAUAAAAUGGUCUUGUUCUUUUCUCUUUAGCAGCUCUUUGGAGGUCAUACCACGCAUGUGUCCGGUCUUCACGUGUAAUCUUACCAGUAGUCACCACCUUGGAAAACAAAUAGUAUGAGGGACGUGGGAUCCGUGCAAGACUAUUUUCACGAUCAACUGCCACAAGUCCAAACUUGGGACCAUAUCCAUCAGCCCAUUCCCAAUUGUCAGAAAUAGUCCAGAACAGGUAACCAAGCACAGGAACACCCUCUCAUGGAACUGAACCAGCAUGCGGAAUAGGCCAUCAGGAUACACCCCACGUCCAGAUUCGCUAUAUUCAUCACUCUCCACUAGUUUAAGUCCAGCUCCACACACCACUUCCUGUCCGUAGUAGUUUAUGCCUAUGAAAUCCAACUUAGAAGAGAUACUAUCCACAUAUGGGAAAAUGGUAAGAGAAUUAGCCAGGGAUACAGCCGCAACAUCAAAGAGACCAUAUGGCCGCAUAAAUGAUACAUGGUGUGCCACACCAACUAAUGAAUUUGAAGAGGUCCUUUGUUGAUGGAUAUAGUCAUAUGCUUUUGCAUGCGCAACGGCCAUCCAAUGCAUGGCCUGGUUGAAAACACCAGUAGGCAAUGCAGAAGUGGCAACCUCCAACAUGUCAGGAUGACCACCAGGCCAAGCACCAGCACAAUAAGUUAGCAAACAAAACACAUGAGGCUCAUUAAAUGUCACCCAAUAGUCGACCAGCUCUGAUACACUGUCAACAACAAGCCUAGUAAAAUCCACAAAGUAAUCAACAGUUUUUUCAAGCUUCCAUCCACCAUAUUCACCAGCCCAUGGCGGCAAUGAGUGAUGGAAAAGGGUCAGCAUCACCUUCAUUCCAUAAGAACGAACCCUGUUGAUGAUCCACUUAUACCGCUCCAGAGCUGCAAAAUUUACAGUUUCUUUAAGCCCAUUGACAGGUUCCUCUGGCAUAACUCGUGUCCAAUCUAUUCCCAUUCGGAAAACACUAACGCCAGUAUUUUUUGCCAAAUUCAACUCCGUGCCAGGAUCGGACCAAAAUUUUAGCCUCUCCUCCGGGUGGGGAACAUUGUGCCAAGCAGCCACAUUAUGAUGGCAUUCUUCAUUUGGCACAGGCACUUCUUCCUCUGUGUACUUCUCAAAUCCUCUAAUCAUAGCUUCCAUAGCUAUCUUACGAUGCUUUUUCUUCUUAACAGGCUUAUUAACUUCUUUUCCAGAAACUGAAGCUUGCUGAGAUCCACCAUCAUCAGUAGCUGAACACAUCAGCGCACCUGCUGGUUCCAGGCCACGCUGUGAUAGUGAUUUGUCACAAGGGUUUUCCUCUGCAAACUGGAGCCAAGCAUCAUUGAGCCUGUCUUCAACAUGGGCUGGUGCUGUUGCCAAUCCAAAGAAAAACUCAUUUUCUUCUCCGCUAACAUUAAAAGACGCGAGAAUCUCAGAAGACUCAUCAAUUGGUGACUUGAACUGCCGGAGAUUCUUUCUCCGGUAACGCUCGAACGAGAACGCGUUGGCAGCGAUGGUAACAGUUGCCAAGACUCCGGCGAGCUUCGCAGCUGACACGAAGAGUGCCAAAAACGACAUUUUCAAGUAAAAACACAGCAGCAGAGAGUGAAAGAGCUUGAAAGUCCAAAAAUAACAGAAAAUUAAUAAUUGUCGAGGA
rnacentral:misc_RNA from 1 species